UAGAGACAUGUAGCACAGAAACAGACCUCUGUCACCCUGAGUCCAUACUGAUCAUCAAGCACCCAUUAAUUCUACACUCUUCACAUUUUCCCUACAUCCCAUUUAAUUCCCCCAGAUUCACAGUGGUCAAUUAAACUAGCUACCCACAUACCUUGGGGGUACGGGAGGAAACUGGAGAAUGGAGAAAAUCUCUAAACCAUCUGAGGUCAGGGUCGAACUUGGGCCACCAGAGCUGCUUCACCAUGCUGCCCCAAGAGUACCAAGUGGAAACUCAAACAACUGGUUCAACCUUUCUUCUGUCUUGCCUAGAAGUUUUGAGGUCAAUGGAGGUGCCUGUAUUCCACAUUCUGAGUAAAUGAAUAAGAAGAGCCUGACAAGUCUGAGAGCUGCCAUAGCAGGGUUGAGCUUCUCCACUGCAAGCACCUGGCUGCUGCUUCGGGCCAGGAGGCAGCAGAAUGGGCCCUCCUCAUCUGGACCAGAUUUCAGUUCAGGCAAGGAAGCCCACUAACAUCCCACAGUUGAAGCAGUUUUGUAAGGAUGAAUGGCUUAACAUUCCACCAAGCUGAAGCACAGGAUUAAUCAACAGUUACUGGAAACAUUUGGGUGAAAUUAUUGCUGUACAAAGUGGUCACACCAGUUAC